rnacentral:RNase_P_RNA from 1 species
AACGGUCGCGCGGUAUGUUGCCGAAAGGUAUUACCGCGAGGAAAGUCCGGGCUUCACAGGGCAGGGUAGCUGAUAACGUCAGCCGGAGGCGACUCCCGGGAAAGUGCAACAGAAAUAGACCGCCUCGAAAGAGGUAAGGAUGGAAAGGCGAGGUAAGAGCUCACCCACUCCUAUGGUAACAUAGGUUUGCUGUAAACCCUAUCCGAAGCAACACCGCAGUCGGAUCGUCUGCCCGACACAUAUCCGCAGGUGGCACGGGGAAUUUCCCCCGAAGCUUAUCGGUGACGGUAAGCGAAGAUUGAUGACCGUUCUCGACAGAACCCGGCUUAUAGGCAAA